rnacentral:tRNA from 1 species
UGGUUGAGUAGUUUACAAAAAAUGGUAAAUUGUGGUUUUACAGAUGGGUUUUUCCCUCAACUAA